AGCUUGGUGGCUCAAUGGAGGAGCGUCGGUCUCAUGAUCCGAAGGACGAGUGAUCAAUACACUCUCAAGCUA